AUGCUUUAUUGCAGGAAUGACCAAAUAUUGUUUUGCUUGUGUGUUUGUUUUGGUCAGCUGAACCUCUUUGAGCUGAAAUAUUUACUUGAAGUACCCCUGAGUUUUCAACUGCAGACGCUGGGAGUGAGUCCGGCUAGCAUCAGCUUCAGCUGCCUGACCAUGGAGUCGGACCGCUUCAUCUGCAUCCGAGAGAAGGUGGGCGAGCAGAACCAAGUGCUGAUUGUGGACCUGAGCGACCCGAGCAGCCCGAUCCGCCGGCCGAUCACGGCAGACAGCGCCAUCAUGAACCCGGCCAGCAAAGUCAUCGCUCUGAAAGGUUUUCUUCAAAUGGCGAGGAAGAAAGCCAGAGAGUCGUUUGUGGAGACGGAGCUCAUCUUUGCUCUGGCUAAAACAAAUCGUCUGUCUGAGCUGGAGGACUUUAUCAACGGCCCCAACAAUGCUCACAUACAGCAAGUUGGCGAGAGAUGUUAUGAAGAGGGUAUGUUUGAAGCCGCCCGGCUGCUGUUUAAUAACGUGUCUAAUUUCGCUCGUCUGGCGUCCACACUCGUUCACCUCGGCGAGUUUCAGGCGGCCGUUGACAGCGCACGAAAGGCCAGCUGCACACGCACAUGGAAAGAGGUGUGUUUUGCGUGUGUGGACGGAGAGGAGUUCAGGUUAGCGCAGAUCUCCGGCCUUCACAUCGUCACUCAUGCUGAUGAACUGGAGGAGCUCAUUAACUACUAUCAGGACCGUGGGUAUUUCGAGGAGCUGAUGGUGCUGCUGGAGGCGGCGUUGGGGCUGGAGCGCGCUCACAUGGGCAUGUUCACCGAGCUGGCCAUCCUCUACUCCAAAUACAAACCCCAGAGGAUGAGGGAACAUCUGGAGCUCUUCUGGUCUCGGGUCAACAUCCCUAAGGUGUUACGAGCGGCUGAGCAGGCCCAUCUGUGGGCGGAGCUUGUGUUCCUGUAUGAUAAAUAUGAGGAGUAUGACAACGCCAUCCUGACGAUGAUAACGCACCCCACCGACGCCUGGAGAGACGCUUCCUUCAAAGAGCUCAUCAGCAAGGUGGCAAAUGUGGAGCUGUAUUAUAAAUCCCUGCAGUUUUAUUUGGACUAUAAGCCGCUGCUGCUCAACGAUCUGCUGUCUGUUCUCGCUCCUCGACUGGAUCACAGCAGAGCCGUCAGCUACUUCAGCAGGGUGAAUCAGUUGCAUCUGGUUAAACCGUAUCUCAGAUCAGUGCAGAGCCACAAUAACAGAGACGUGAAUGACGCGCUCAACAACCUGCUGACUGAGGAAGAGGACUAUCAGGGUCUGCGUGCCUCCAUCGAUGCAUACGAUAACUUGGACUCGAUCGGUUUGGCUCAGAGGCUCGAGACACACGAGCUCAUCGAGUUCAGACGCAUCGCUGCGUAUCUCUACAAGAGCAACCAGCGCUGGGCUCAGAGCAUCCAGCUCUGCAAGAAAGACAAACUCUACAAGGAUGCGAUGCAGUUCUCCGCUGAGUCUCAGGACGGAGCUCAGGCUCAGGAUCUCCUGCGCUGGUUUGUUGAGGAGGGGAAGUGCGAGUGUUUCGCCGCGUGUCUCUUCAGCUCCUAUGAUCUUCUGGCUCCUGACCUGGUCUUAGAGCUGGCCUGGAGACACGGCCUCGUGGACUUCGCCAUGCCGUACUUCAUUCAGGUGACGAGGGAGUACCUGAGCAAGGUGGAUAAACUGCAGGAGGCUGAGGACAAGAGAGCGGCUGAAGAGCAGACUCCUGAAGCCUCCUCCAUCGUCUACGGUACGUUCAUCAUCAGCUCUUUCCUGCACUUUACUACUAAAUCAGUCUUUUCUAAUUCCUGAUCAAUGCAAACAUGCAUCAGAGACCAGCUUGUCAACUGGUUUAACUUUUGUUAUGAAGUGCAGCAUCAGAGCAAUAUUUUACAACUUGUAACCAUUCAGUGAAAGCCAGGUUAUGAUGUUUCUGACGUUUAUAUACGGU
rnacentral:lncRNA from 1 species